GACGAACGCUGGCGGCGUGCCUAAUACAUGCAAGUAGAACGCUGACGGAGGAGCUUGCUCUUCUGGAUGAGUUGCGAACGGGUGGGUAACGCGUAGGUAACCUGCCUGGUAGCGGGGGAUAACUAUUGGAAACGAUAGCUAAUACCGCAUAACAGUAGAUGUUGCAUGACAUUUGCUUAAAAGGUGCAAUUGCACCACUACCAGAUGGACCUGCGUUGUAUUAGCUAGUUGGUGGGGUAACGGCUCACCAAGGCGACGAUACAUAGCCGACCUGAGAGGGUGAUCGGCCACACUGGGACUGAGACACGGCCCAGACUCCUACGGGAGGCAGCAGUAGGGAAUCUUCGGCAAUGGACGGAAGUCUGACCGAGCAACGCCGCGUGAGUGAAGAAGGUUUUCGGAUCGUAAAGCUCUGUUGUAAGAGAAGAACGAGUGUGAGAGUGGAAAGUUCACACUGUGACGGUAUCUUACCAGAAAGGGACGGCUAACUACGUG
rnacentral:rRNA from 1 species